GACGAACGCUGGCGGCGUGCCUAAUACAUGCAAGUCGAACGCUUCUUUCCUCCCGAGUGCUUGCACUCAAUUGGAAAGAGGAGUGGCGGACGGGUGAGUAACACGUGGGUAACCUACCCAUCAGAGGGGGAUAACACUUGGAAACAGGUGCUAAUACCGCAUAACAGUUUAUGCCGCAUGGCAUAAGAGUGAAAGGCGCUUUCGGGUGUCGCUGAUGGAUGGACCCGCGGUGCAUUAGCUAGUUGGUGAGGUAACGGCUCACCAAGGCCACGAUGCAUAGCCGACCUGAGAGGGUGAUCGGCCACACUGGGACUGAGACACGGCCCAGACUCCUACGGGAGGCAGCAGUAGGGAAUCUUCGGCAAUGGACGAAAGUCUGACCGAGCAACGCCGCGUGAGUGAAGAAGGUUUUCGGAUCGUAAAACUCUGUUGUUAGAGAAGAACAAGGACGUUAGUAACUGAACGUCCCCUGCCGGUAUCUAACCAGAAAGCCACGGCUAAAUACGUG
rnacentral:rRNA from 1 species